rfam:Perkinsus marinus ATCC 50983 gcontig_1104296256306, whole genome shotgun sequence.
GCCGGGAUGGUCUAGUGGUUAUGACGUCUGCCUUACACGCAGAAGAUCGAGAGUUCAAUCUUCGCUCCUGGUA